rnacentral:rRNA from 1 species
UCGAGCGGAUGAGAAGAGCUUGCUCUUCGAUUCAGCGGCGGACGGGUGAGUAAUGCCUAGGAAUCUGCCUGGUAGUGGGGGACAACGUCUCGAAAGGAACGCUAAUACCGCAUACGUCCUACGGGAGAAAGCAGGGGACCUUCGGGCCUUGCGCUAUCAGAUGAGCCUAGGUCGGAUUAGCUAGUUGGUGAGGUAAUGGCUCACCAAGGCGACGAUCCGUAACUGGUCUGAGAGGAUGAUCAGUCACACUGGAACUGAGACACGGUCCAGACUCCUACGGGAGGCAGCAGUGGGGAAUAUUGGACAAUGGGCGAAAGCCUGAUCCAGCCAUGCCGCGUGUGUGAAGAAGGUCUUCGGAUUGUAAAGCACUUUAAGUUGGGAGGAAGGGCAUUAACCUAAUACGUUAGUGUUUUGACGUUACCGACAGAAUAAGCACCGGCUAACUCUGUGCCAGCAGCCGCGGUAAUACAGAGGGUGCAAGCGUUAAUCGGAAUUACUGGGCGUAAAGCGCGCGUAGGUGGUUUGUUAAGUUGGAUGUGAAAGCCCCGGGCUCAACCUGGGAACUGCAUCCAAAACUGGCAAGCUAGAGUACGGUAGAGGGUGGUGGAAUUUCCUGUGUAGCGGUGAAAUGCGUAGAUAUAGGAAGGAACACCAGUGGCGAAGGCGACCACCUGGACUGAUACUGACACUGAGGUGCGAAAGCGUGGGGAGCAAACAGGAUUA